UUCAUCGUCGAGAGCAACCGAGGCACUGAUGGCAGCAGAAGGCUCAGGUAUCUGGGCUGGAGCUGUGCUCAAGGCUGAUCGUAAAACAUUGUGAAUAAAGAUGCCCUGAGCAUAUCUGUGCUCAUCUGUCCUCACACACACGCACCCAUUUCUCGUAAGUAUAUGCCUAGCGAAGAAUUGCAAGGUCAUGGAGAUGUCAGGUGAUUAGGAACCUGGUGGUGCUGGCUCAUGGUCUUUCCUGUUUUCUCAGCCACCAUGGUGUUGCAUGUGUCUCCCCGGGAGGCUCAGCCAGUCUUUGGUGUAUUAUGGCCAAGUCAUUUACAUCAUGUACAUUUCUUGAGUGCUAACUACGCACGUGGCACUUCGUAUGCCUGUUAUGUGAGGAAUGAAGCAUCCUCCCCAGGAGCCUACAGCAGCUAAUAGGAGAGGCUAUAAACAUGAUCAUAAUACAAGGAAGAAGGUGUUAGCUGGCCAAAAUAAGGUUGAGAUAAAGCACUGAUUUAUGAUUGCCUCGUGAAAAGCACACAGCAUUUUCACGAGGCAGUCAGAAAAAGCUACAUGGAGGAGACAGUGUUUGGGUUCAGCUCUGUAUGAGAAAGGCAACACGAUCGUCUCUCCAUCUCUGCAGGUCUGGAGUUCAAGGGUGGCUUGGCUGGCCACGUGUGACUCGGAGUCUCAGGCAUGGCAGUCACGUUGCUGACACUCAACAACCAGGAUACUGUACAUAGAAAUUUGGCUCCAUCUUCUCUGACCCCACUGGGCCCACAUUUCCAGCAACUGGCAGCAACAGGCUAGAGGUGGGGCAUGUGCCCUCCUGCUCCUCAC